UCUUAUAGAUGAACAAAGAAGGUGGUUUGUUGAGAUGAAAUCUACUUCUGGUGAAGAUGCUGUGAA
rnacentral:pre_miRNA from 1 species